ACACACAGAUACACACACACAUGCACACACCACACAACUCGCAAUCACUAAACUGGUCUGAGUCCACAGGUCACCAAAUAGGCUUCCAGGGAUCUAUCAGACCAAAAACCAUGACCCAGCCAGGGCCUUACACAGGCCCUGUCUGUGAUGACAUCACAAAGGCUUUUGAUGAGUUCAGAGCAAAACAGGCCUAGUCAUGGCUGGGGAUCAUUCACAGAUGUUUUCUCACUUUUAGUCCCCAAACCAUCUUCCUCUUUUAAAAAGAAGAGUGCUUUUGGCUUUUGUCUAGAUGGGUUAUAGAGAUUGAUAUUUAGUUUCCCAGCUAUUUAAACUGGUACAACACUUCAACAGCAUUUUCAUUUGUAGUUUCUUUUUCUGUAAUUUUUUUUAUUAUACUCUUAAGUUCUGGGGAACCUGUGUAGAUUGUGCAGGUUUGUUACAUAGGUUUACAUGUGCCUUGGUGGUUUUCAAUCAUUUGUAAUUUCAAAAUCUGAAACAGCUUUUGGAUUUUGAAGAUCUCCUAAGGUCUACAUGCAAAAUAUUCAAUUCCUUUUUUUUCCAUCUCUGAAUGGUAGGUCUCAACCAUUGAGAAGGGAGACAAUAUUUUCCUUUCCUUUAGGGAUUUUCCUUUGUCAUGUGGUUGAGAUUAUGUAAGGGACACAGAGGAAACAGACAUACCCUACCGUCCACGAGCCCAUAGCCUCAUCAGGAAGGCCCCCCCAGCCAUGAAGCUUCUUCAGCGUGAGGAGCACAGCCUCACUGCCACCAGCCUUCCCCACCUUCCUCCGAGAGGGAUUCAAGGAAAAGCCACCUCUGGCCUCCACCAUCACCUGCUGGCCCUGAGACCUUCAAGGAAAAGCCCUCCUCCUUGUCCACCAGGGCUCACCUGGGCAGCCUGUUCUCCCCACGGCCCUGCCUUACAGACCACCCUGAGUGCCCAGAAUGGGCAACCAGCUGUCUUCACUACCCCAGUCUAUACUCCUCUGGAGGGUAUCCUGAAUCACUGCAACUGUUUUGACGCUGAGACUCUGAAUGGGGGAAAAGAUGGCUUAUAGUCUUCUGCACAAAGGGUAAUCCAUACCUUUCCUGACAGUGUACGAUGGAUCCAGCCUCCUGUUUGCCACUUCGGGACAGGCUGCAAGGGGAAAUUCCAGGGAACUGAAGAAAUAAACCCCAGAGGCCCCUCCAGCAGGUGAGCCAGCUCCCUCCAGCUCUCAUCUGGGUCCACCCCAUCCUUUCUAUCCAUCUUCUCUCUCUUGCUUACCCCCUCCUAGAAAUCUUCACCCUAGAUUAUCCCAAGUCUCAAUCUUGCCCCUCAAAGUCAUGCCUGGUGAAUUUGGCCACAGUGAGGUCCAGGUCCCCUUCUCUCUACAGGACUUAAGGAAAAUUAAGAAAAUCUUGGCAACUUUUCAAAUGACCCUGACAUAUAUAGAGAGGCUUUCUAGUAUUUAACACAAAUAUUUGAACUGUCCUGGAAAGACAUUAUGUCACUUUUGAAUCAAAUCCUGACUAACACUGAAAAGCAGGUCACUCUGCAAGUGGCAGAGGGAUUUGGGGAUGAGCUUUGUAUCACAUAUAGUGUCAGGAAAGGGGUCAAACUUUAUCCAACUGGAAGAGAGAAAGUAUCAUUGCAUGACCUUAAAUGACAUCCCAAUGACAAGAUGGGAGAAUGGAAGAGGAGACAUUUUCAGGUGUGCAUAGUGGAGGCCUUAUGCAGAACUAGAACUAAGCCUCUCAAUUAUAUCAGUGUUUCUGUGAUAGACCAGGUAAUGGAUGAGAAUCCCACUGAUUUUCUGGAACGGCUAAGAGGGCCUUGGUAAAGCACAUCUCUUUAUCUCCUGAUUAUUUGAGGGGCAACUAAUCCUAAAGGAUAAAUUUAUUACUCAGGUAGCCCCUGGUGUCAGGAGGAAGCUGCAUAAGCAGGUCCUGGGACCUGAUAGUACUUUAGACAACCUUCUGAAAGUGGCCACGCCUGUCUUUUAUAAUAGAGAUAGGGAGGCCCAGGAGAGAGAGGAGACACAGGAAAAAGACAGAGGCUUUACGGCCCCCAUGCAAGCCCAAACACUCCAGAAUUCCUGAGGUGUGCCUGUUACUACUACAGAUGUGGCAAGCCAGGGUACUUUAAGAAGGAAUGCCCCCAAAUGGUUCCACAGCAGGACUGUUGGAUCAUAGGGUUUAUCUCCCUGGCUCUGGUAGUCCAGAUUACCAUUACAAUCCAGAAGCCCCAGGUAAUUCUGGAAAUCAAAGGGAGGAAAGUGAACCUCCUUCAGGGCACCAGGGCUGGUGUCUCAGUUUUCCUCUCCAGUCUGGGCCCCCUCUCAUCUCAGCACAACCAUGAGGGGAAAUCUCAGGAAGGCCUUCAACCUGAUAUUUUUUCAUAACCCUUUUAUUUGUAGUUGGGAGACCUCUUGUUCACCUAUGGCUUUCUAAUUACACCUGAAAGCCCAACUCCUCUGUUGGGCAGGGAUAUUCUGAGCCCACAUGGGGACCACCAAACUGAUGGCCUGAGGACGAACUCUUUGUCUCCCUCUAGUGGAAACCACUAUUAACUGAGAAGUUUGGGCAAUACAGGAGAAAAUUGGCCAAGCCACAACUGCCAUACUGGUCUGAUCUACCUUAAAGAUUCCAGCUCCUUUUCUAUCCAGAAACAAUGUCCCCUGAAACCAGAGGUUAGGAAAGGACUAGAAGCCAUCAUUGAUAACUUAAUGCUGUAUGGCCUCCUUAAACCCUGCAACAACCCUUGUAAUACCAUGAUAUUGGAGGCAAAAAAAAAAAAAAAACCCAACAGGAAAAGGAGACUAGUUCAGGACCUCUAACCCAUUAAUGAGGCUGUGGUUCCAAUUCACCCAUUGGUUUCCAAUCUGUAUACCCUGCUAGCUCAAAUACCUGAGGGAACUAAAUGGUUCAGAAUUCUGGACAUAAAGUAUGCCUCCUGUAUACUGUUACAUCCUUACUCCCAGUAAUUAUCUGCAUUUGAGGAUCCCUUUAACCAAACCACCCAGUUAACCUGGACACUGUUACCUCAGGGAUUCCAAGAUAGUCCCCACUUGUUUGGGCAAGCAUUAUCAAGAGACCUCUCCAAGUUCCUUUAUCCUCAGGAUAAAGUUUUACAAUACAUGGAUAACAUUCUUCUCUGUGCUCCAACUGAGGAAAUCUCUUAGGUGGGAAGUAAGGCUCUUCUUAAUUUUCUGGCCAACAGGAUAUGAGGCUUCAAAAUUUAAAGCUCAGCUCUGUCAGAUGUCAGUGAAGUAUGCAGACCUGUGCUUGUCAGAGGGGACCAGGGCAUUGGGUGAAGAAAGGAUUAGGCCCAUUUUCUCCUUUCCCCUUCCCCAAACCCUCAAGCAACUGAGGGAAUUCUUAGGCAUUAACAAGACUCUGCAGACUGUGGACACAUGAAUAUGGUGAAAUACCUUGUCCCUUAUAUCACCUAAUAAAGGAGACUCAGGCAGCUAAAACUCAGUGUCUAAGUUGGGAACCAGAGGUCAGAAAGGUCUUUGACCAACUGCAACAAGCCUUGCUUAAGGCACCAGCCCUUAGCCUUCCUAUAGGGAAGAUGUUUAAUCUUCAUUUGUCAGAAAGGAAGGAAAUGGCCUUGGGGGUUCUCUAACACAGGUCAAGCCCAGCAGCCUGAGGUCCAGCCCAGCAGCCUGAGGUCCAGCCCAGCAGCCUGUAGCCUACUUAAGUAAGGAGCUUGAUUUGGUAUCCAAAGGAUGGCUAGCCUGCCUCUGAGCAGUUGCAGCAAUAGCCUUGCUGGAACCAGAAGCUACUAAGUUAGCCAUAAGGAAGAGCAUAACCAUUUACACUUUGCAUAAUGUGGCAGGAGUGUUGUCAAUGGCAUCUCUGGAUAACAGACAAUUACUUCCUCAAGUACCAAGCUCUACUAUUAGAGUGAUCUGUAGUCCAAUUAAGAACGAGUACCUCUCUAAUUCCAGCCACUUUCCUCCCAGAGUCAGAUGGGGAGCUUGAACCUGUCUGUGAACACAUAGUAGUACAAACCUAUGCAGCCAAAGAGGACCUCAAAGAAAUCCCUUUGAGAACCGAGACCGGAUUCUCUUUAUGGAUGGAGGUUCUUUUAUAGAACAAGGGACUCAUAAAGCAGGGUAUUCAAUAGUUAACUCUUAAUGGUAUACCUCUUCCUCAGGUACAAGUUCUCAAUUAGAUGAACUAAUUGCCCUCACAAGGUCACUCAAAUUAAACAAAGAAAAAACAGGUAACAUUUAUGUUGAUUCUAAGUAUGCUUUACUAGUCCUGCAUGCUGAUCCCAUUAUCUGGAAAGAGAGGAACUUCCUUACAGCUAAUGGGUCUGCCAUUAAGCAUCAUCAGGAAAUUAAUAGACUGUUAUCCUCAGUUUGAAAUGGCAGUAAUACAUUGUAAAUGUCACCAAACAGGGAUAGAUGAAGUAACUGAGGGAAAUCUGUUGGCAGACCAAGCAACUAAAUCAGCAGUCAGAGGGCGCCAGAUUUUUGAUUCACUUGAAGGCCCACUGAUCUGGGAGAGCCCCAUCAGAGAAAUAAAACCUCAACACUCUCCCAUGGAAAUAGAAUGGGCCACCUCUUGGGCAUAUAUUUUUCAGUCCUCAGAUUGGCUACAAUCAAAGGAUGGCAAUCAUCUACCAGCUGCCAACCAAUGGAAAGUUCUUAAAAACCUUUGCCAGACCUUCCACCUAGGUAAGGAUAAAACCUACCAAUCAACCCAGAGAUUGUUCUCAGGUAAAAACUUGAUACAAAUGAUUAAACAGGUGGUUAAUUCUUGCAAGACAUGCCUAAAAAAUAAUCCCUUUAACGUAUAGCUUCUUCCCCCCAGGAACCUAAAGGAUAGUAGGCUAUCUGGGAAAAGACUGUCAAAUGGAUUUCAUCAGUAUGCCAAAGACCAGGGUCAUCCAGUAACUCCUACUAUGGAUAGACACUUCCACUAACUGGGUAGAAGCAUUUCCAUGUCAGACAGAGAAAGCCUCUGAGUUGAGAAAAGUACUAAUUAAUGAGACAAUUCCUCUCUUUGGACUCCCUAAGUACCUCCAGAAUCAUAAUGAUCCCUUGGCAGCUUCCCUUCAAGGCAGCUGUCACCCAGGGGUCUCAAAGUCACUAAGUAUACAGUACCAUCUUCAUUGUGCUUGGAGACCACAAUCCUUGGGAAAGGUAGAAAGGAUGAAUAAUGUUAUCAAACGGUACCUCAGGAGAUUUAUCUCCCCUGGGAACCCUCCCCUGCAUUGCCCUACGAUGUGUUAGAAACACCCCUUUAAAGCUAGGCUUGAGAUCGUUUGAAAUGAUGUAUGGAUAUGGAUAGCAUUUUCUCACCAAUGAUUUCUUGCUAGACCAGGAAACCUCUGAUUUGAUUAAACAUAUAACUUCUUUAGCCCAUUUCCAACAGAAACAGAUACAACUGUCAGAGGCCCUGUCCUGUGAACCAGCACCACCUCUGUUCAACCCAAAAGACCUGGUGCUGGUAAAGUUACUUCCUUCCCUCUCCCUCUCUAUAGGACCAGCUUGGAGGGGCCUUACCCUAUUCUGCUUUCUACUCCUAUGGCAGUGGAGGUCACUGCAAUAGACUCUUGAAUUCAUUACACCCAAGUGAAGGCCUGGAAAGCUGAUGGAGUCGCCUCUGUCAACCCAGAAGAGCACCCAAAGUACCAUGUAAAGAGAUCAGGGACUUCAAGCUAAAAAUUACAAAAGAUAUGUGUUAAUAGUUAACUUCCCAUGGAUAUCCCCUUUAUAGUCUUGCCUACGCUUGCUGUUCUUACCUUUGUUCAGUUCUAUACAAUGGGAUACAAUGUUGUUUUCAGAAUGAUUAUUUCUGUAACCCUUGGCAUUAGGUUUUCUCCUUUAUAACCACUUUUCGUAUAAUAUGCAUAUUUGAUCUAUGCAUACUGAAUCUUACAAAACUUGUUUCUUCUUGCCUAGAGACAAUGAAACUCCAACUGGUCAGGCACCAGAGACUUGGAUGAUGGCUCCCUUUUGCCAGGGACCCUUAGAUAGACCUCUGGAAGGAAUCCAAGUAUGAUUUCCCCAAAACCAAUGCCGCUGUCAGCAGGAAGUAACUAAGAAUGGUCAUUGUCCAUAUUCUAACAGUAGUUAGAUGUGCCUCUUGAGAGGAAAUGAUAGGGAAACGAGGCAGAGAAUUCCAGGUAGAAAGGAAAGGCUCAUCCCCUAAUUAUAGAUAAUGUCUAAUUAUAGAUAUUAUUUCUACCUAUAUAUACAUAUGUAUGUAACUAUCAGUAUAUCUGUGUAUAUUGUGUGUGUGUAUAUAUAUAUAUAUAUCUAGAGAUACUUUAUCUAUAAUCUGUCUAUGUUUCUAUCAAUCUAUCUAAUUUAUCUAUCCUAUUGAUUCUACUUCUCUGAAGAACCUAAUAUAAUAUAUUGAACUUCAAAAUUAUAUCCAGAAUGGUGACCAAAUCUCAUUACAGUUAUUGCAAGCAUUCUAGAGCAUGCUACCAUUGUUUCUCAUUUUCUAUUUGCCCUAAGAAUUACCUCUGUAGGAUUUAAUCAGAAGUAGAAUUAAAUGGUUGUUCUAAAAAUAAUUUUCCCCAGUUUCACAAGGGAGUAGGUUGACAGACUGCCUCAUACUGUCAGGCUGGAAGUUGAUUCCCUCUUCUCCCAUGUAAACUUUUAAAUGUGCUCUUUUUAUUUUUAAUUGCAAAAAUCUUUUUAAAUCACACAAUUUUCUUAUAAAGCUUCUCAACAAUGUAGACCUUUGUAAAAAUAAUAUAAUUAAACUCCUCCCACCCUCCAGCCAAUUUCACUUCAUAGGAUAAACCACUACUAAGUUAAGUAAAUAAAUAACUUUUAAAUGACAUAAUUUGAACUCUACAGUGACAGAUAUCUCUUGUAAACUGCACAUGACACAGUUAUUUCUAUCCUUCUCACAUCACUUCCACAGUUUUCAAGUAACGUAACUUAUAAGUCUAUGCAGAAAACUUAAUCUGUGUUGCCUGUUUCUAGCUCUGGCUUAUUUCUGUGAAAGGAAAAUAAAUUUGGGGGCCCUCAAGUCACUAAACUAAAGGGAAAAGUCAAGCUGGGAACUGCUUAGGGCAAACCUGCCUCUCUUCUACUCAAAGCCAUCCCUCUGCUUACCGAGAUAAAUGCAUAUCUGCUUGCCUCCUUUGGAAAGGCUAAUCAGAAACUCAAAAUAAUGCAACUGUUUGUCUCUCACCUAUCCGUGACCUGAAAGCCCCCUUCCUGCUUCAUGUUGUUCUGCCUCGGCUCUGAGUGGUCCCAACUGUCUGCACAGAAUCAGUGUACGUUUUACCUGUAUUGAUUGAUGUCUCAUCUCUCCCUAAAAUGUAUAAAACCAAACUGUUCCCCUACAGCUUUGGGCACAUGUCAUCAGGACCUCCUGAGGCUGUAUCACAGGCACACGUCCUCAACCUUGGCAAAAUAAACUUUCUAAAUUAACUGAGACCUGUCUCCGAUAUUCAGGGUUCACAUUUCCAUAAACUUUAAUUAAAUUCAGUGUUCAAUUCUCAGAACUCAUUGUAUCUGAAUCACUGCAGGCAUUUGACAGAGUUGAACACUCUCUUUCGUGAAACAACUUUCCACUUCCUUUCUGACUCCUAAAUCUCCUGCUUCUCCUUAUACUUCUAUGGCUCCUCUCUGUGUUGGGUUGCUACUCUUUUUUCUGACAUAAGAACUUUGCAGUCCUGAGUUAGAUCUCUUAAAUCUUAUUAUCAACCAGACUGAUACUUUAAAUAUUAUCUACAUCAGUGAUUCCCAAAUGUUUAACAACAGACCUCUCCUUAAACUCCAAACACAUGUAUCCAUGAUGUAUGCUCUUAGUUACUAAUGAGAGUCUCUAAAUUCACAAAAUCAAAGAUGAGAACCUGAUACUAUACUUCCCCCAAUAUAUAUAUAUUCUAUUGGUUCUAUUUCUCUGGAGAACCCUAAUACAAUACACUCAUCUUUAACAUUACAACCAGAAUGGUGACCAUGCCUCAUCACUGCUAUUGCCGGCAUUCUGGAGCAUACUGCCAUUGUUUCUCUUUUAUAUUACUGUAGUAGAAUUUUAAUUAAUGAGGCUCUCAAAAGUAAAUAACCUACUAACGUGUUAAUUAGAUAGUUUAUAUAUGAAGGCAUUUUAUAAAGGUAUGUUUAUUAGUCUAUUCUCAUGCUGCUAAUAUUGACAUACCCAAGACUAGGUAAUUUAUAAAGGGAAGAAGUUUAAUUGAUUCAUAGUUCAGCAUAACUGGGCAGGCCUCAGGAAAGUUACAAUCGUGGUAGAAGGCAAAGGAGAAGCAAGGCACCUUCUUCAUAAGGCAGCAGAAAGGAGAAGUGCCUAGGAAAGGGGGAAAAACCACUUAUAAAACCAUCAGAUCUUGUGAGAACUCACUAUCAUGAGAACAGCAUGGGAGUAACUGCCCCAUAAUUCAAUUACCUCCCACCAGGUCCUUCCCACAACAUUUGGGGAUUAUGGGAGCUACAAUUAAGGAUGAGAUUUGGGUGGGGACACAGCCAAACCUUUUCAGUAUGAGUAUAAAGAGACUGAAACUGGAAGUAGUGACAGCAACGCUAUUUUCAUUUCUGGGCCUGGGUACCUGUGAAUGUGACCUUAUUUGAAAGUAGGGUCUUUGAAGAUGACUAAGUUAAGAUUUCUUUUAUGGUGAGCUCUACUCUAUUAUGACUGGUGCCCUUGUGAAAAACAGAAAUUUGGACAGAUAGUUAUGCACAGAGGAAAGAAAAUUGAAUACACAAAGAACCAAGGAGUUGCAAGCCAAGAAACAGCUGAGGCUACAAGGAAUCUAGAGAAGCAUGGAAAAUUUUUCCUCCAGAGCCUUUAGAAGGAACUAUCCCUGUUGAUACCUUGAUUUCAGACUUCUGGUCUGUCUCACAAUCUGAAAUUGUGAGACAAUAAAUUUCUGUUAUUUAAGUCAUUCAGUUUGUGGUACUGUGUUAUGACAGCCACAGGAAAUUAAUUCCAAUGAGAAGAAUGUGACAAACCCAGGUUAGAUAGUUGAAUAAAUUUAGAAGAUUUGAAAGUGUCACUGAACUUAUAUUAAAUAGUAUAAUCUGCCGUAGGCAAACUCAUGGGGUAAAGUAAAGAAAAUAAACUCUGAUCUCACUCUGCUGCCUCCCUCUGAUCUCCUAGGUUCUCCUGAAAGCUGCUGAUGUAGUGCAUACAGGUUUGCUUCCUAGGGCAGAGAAAGGGUGAAAAGGGUGGAAGGUGCUUCUGGAAAUCUAAAAGGCAGUUUUCUGAGACACUUUCUAACUAGUUCCCUUCAUCUUCUCUUUCCUCCUAUUGCUUACUCUCAACACAGGUUGCAGAGUGAUGUGGCUGAAAGAUAAAAAAAUAAAAGACAAACAAAAGACAUAUCACUCCUCUGCUUAAAAUCCUCCCAACACAAAUCUUAUCCAAAAGUCCUCGAAGGACCUGUAUAGUCAUUCAUGUGUGGCUGGUCAUUGCCUCUUACCUUACCUCCUAGUAUCCUCUCCCUUGCUCACUCUGUUAAAGUUGACCUGGCCUCCUCACUUUACACCUGCUCUGUUUGAAAUGAUCCUUCAUCAGAUGUCUACAUGACUUCCAUUCUCCUUUUAUUCAGGUCUUUACUCAAUAAGGUGUCCUCAGACCACUCUAACAUAUUAACCUGUAUUUUCCAAACACAUGGCCUAUUUUCCUCCUUCUUAACAUUUAUCAUUAUCUAAAAAGCUGUAAACUGUGUAAAAGUGUAAACUGAAGGACUGCCAAUUUUGGUCUGGCAUAUAAAAAGUUUAGAGGUUGCCAUUCUAUCCUAACAAUAAAAUGCUGAACAACUUAAAAAAUCAACAACUCUUGUUAGGUCUGUAAGAGAAGUGAGGUUAUAGGACAAACAAAUAUCCCCAAAAUUAGACAGAAAAGCAAAUAUAGAGCAUCACAAUUUUUGUCAAUAUUGACAAACUAAUUAUAUAUUUCACAUGGAGAGGUUAAAAGAUCCAGAAGAUUGGCUGGGUGUGGUAGCUCAUGCCUGGAAUCCCAGAACUUUGGGAGUCCGAGGCAGGUGGAUCAUGAGGUCAUAAGAUCAAGCCCAUCCUGGCUAACUUGGUGAAACCCCAUCUCUAUUAAAUAUACAAAAAAAUAGCCAGGCAUGGUGGCAGGCACCUGUAGUCCCAGCUACUCAGGAGGCUGAGACAGGAGAAUUGCUUGAACCUGUAAGGCAGAGGUUGUAGUGAGCCGAGAUUGCACCACUGUACUCCAGCCUGGGUGACAGAGUGAGACUCUCUCUCAAAAAAAAAAAAAAAAAAAAAAAGAUGCAGGAGAUCUAGGACAACAGUGAAAAAGAACAAAGUUGGAAGACUGACACUAUACAACUUCAAGUCUUACUAUAAAGCUAGUAAUCAAGACAGUGUGGUAUUGGCAAAAGAAUAGACAAAUAAAUAAAUGGGAUGAAAUAGAGUCCAGAAAUAGACCCACAGAAAUAUAGUCAACAGACCUUUGACAAAGGAGCUCUAAAGUGACGUCUGUUUUUAAAAAACUAUAUAUUUUACUUAUUUAUCUUGUUUCUUAGCUCCCUCCUCCACAGUAAGCCCCUUCAAAAUAGGGGUAUUUGUCUAUUUUGUUUACUGUUGAGUUUCCAGUGCCUAGAAUAGUUCUGGUUUGUAGGCUGUAAUACACAUGUUGAAUGCAUGAAUAAAUGGCCUACCUUUCUGUUUUUCAAUCUUAUGAGCUUAACCUUUUUUAGUUACUGCAGUUGUUUUUAAGUCUAUUAUUGCUACCAUCACAUUUUCUGGUAUAAAGAGAUAGAAUGAGACAGAUGAUUUCAUUGUAGUUGAUAUUUAAUGGUUUGCUGUAAUGAAUGAUGAAUCCCUAAAACCCAAAGGCAUGCACAAAUCCUGUAUAUUCUAUCUUUCUGACAAGCCUGUAACAUUUCUUAAUAAAAAGCAAUGAAACUUCAAGGAAAUUUUGUGUAUACUUUUCAAUUGGAGAGCCAUUUUGUUUUCAGUUUCCCUUUCUUUUCCAAGCCACCCUAUUCAAGGUAAUAUAAUAUGUUCCUAAAUGUAAGCAAUGAUGGCAGACCACAUUUAUUCUUUUGUCUAGAAUUAUUUUGAAAUAUUUAGUGAGGGACACACAUGGCAUUUUAGCAAACAUUUCUUUUGGAAGAAAACUUAAACAGCAAGUACCACCAAAUUGCACUAUCAACUCUAUGUAUAACUAUGAGGAAAAAAUAAUGCUAUUUUUAUUACUAUUCUUUUUAUAGAUUUGAUAUGGCUCCUGGGUAAAUAUGUUCUUACUAAAAGCCUGCCAGAGUUGAAUGAAAUAUCCCUAUUCUCCAGGUUUUGGAUAUCAGUAUAGAUUAUUAUAUUGAUUUUUGUGGCCAGUAAUCCUUGCUCUAUUUUCCUUCUUCUCAGUGCUCUCAUUAACCUUUUGUAUUUCUUAUUCUAAUACAAAUCACUGCCAUGUUUUAGACUCAGUGUCUCUAAAAUGUAGAUCAUGGUGUGUCUGUCCAAACAUUCAGCGUUUUUAAAGGUGACAUUAUGUGUUCUUCAUAACAGCAAGAGAAUGCGAAUUAGAAAACACAAAGAAAACAGCUGUCAAGUAAAUUUUAUAACUUUCAAAUAAAUUUUUGAUGGCUUACAUUUUACAAGAUUUGAAAUCCUCAAUGAAAUCCAGAAAAUCUGAUAGUCAUACAGAAAAUAAAAAUUAGCUCUUCUUAUGGGACAAAAGUUGUUUAUUUUAGCAACAAAUUAAGGUUAGUAGGUCACGAAAUGUCCAUGUUCUUAUACUAAGCCAACUUGUUUUUGAUAACAUAACAGUAUUCCUAACAGUGUUUUAAACAAGACACUUUUUCUGAGGUUGAGAAAGAAGUUCUGAUUUUUCUUUUCUUAGCUUCUUUUCUUUCCCUGAUUCUAGCCUUCCACCAGUUUCCUUCAAUUCCAAGUUGUUUUUCUCUAUAAAAUCGUUUUUCUCUCUGUUAUUCUGAGUAAUAACCAUAAAUGGCAAGGAUGUGUGUCGCUUAUUCCUUCUUCCAUGCAUUGCUCGUGUGUGUGUGUGUGUGUGUGUGUAAAAUUUGAAAUAAAAUUUUCAGCAGUUCAUCUUUAAACUUAAAAGCAAUCUAUGUAAAAUUAAAAGACAGAUGCUUAUCUCUCAACAUCUUUGACUGGGUUUAUUUGGUUUAGGGAAGGUAGGGUGGGGUGCUCAGAAUGCUAUUUAAAUUGAAAUCUGAGAUAAGAUUCUUUUCUGUGGUCUCCAAGGCACAGAUGGAAGCACAAUCACAUAUUGAAAACUUUCUUAGGGCUAUGACCUUGAAUACCUCUUCAAAAGAUGAAACAACUAAUUUAAAAAUAAAAUGCAAAUAUUACAUGUUAAGUUUGUGCCAUCUAUUAAUGUACCUUUCUGAAAAAAUUGUCUUUUAACUGAACUCAAAUUUUUAUAAUAAAAAUUACUUAAACCAAUGUAAAUAUUGGCAUACUUUGGAAUACAUCAAGUUAGAUAUAUUUUAAAGUGAAUUUUUGCAGUGUGCAAGUCUUAAGAAUAAAAUAGGAAAAAAAAGAAGUCUUUACUUUUUAAAAUACAACAUUUUUAAAAAAUUAAUAAAAAACUAGACAGACGAGAAAGAGCUCUACUUAGCAAGCAAUAGAUACAACCAAACUAUUUUCAAGCAGUUUUCGGAGCAACGAUUAUGGAAGACAUUUAUUCCCCUAAGUGUUUGCCAAUUACACUUUAACUUCAGGGAUACUGGUUGCUGCUUCAGGAUGGCUCUGCUGAUGUUGUGGAUAGAGAAAUGGGCAUGAUUGCUCAUCGCAGGGCUAAGUGGCAGCUUAAGACUUAAAGGCACACAUUUAUAAAGUUCAGAGCUUUCUCAAGUGUCAGUUGGUAUGUACUUGAUGAAGUAGCUCAGAGGAAGCCAGCUGGCCUGCAGUCAUACUAACUGCAAGAUCAACGAUUAAUACCAAAGUGUUCACAUAUUCAAAAGAGAAGUAUAAUCCUGUGAAAUCCCUUACUGUGCUGCCCUCUAGUUUGAUUGGGGAUGACAGGUGCGGUAAGUGAGCCUCUUGACUAAGAACAAAGAAUUGUAACAAGAUAAUGAACAGAACAAGCUUGAAAAGAACAAGAGAAAUAAAGAAGGGUGGGUGGUGGCAGGGAGAAAUCCGAGGGGAAGUCUCUCUUGAAAAGUGAAAGUUUCAAGCUGUUCUCAAAAUAGAGAAAACGUAGAGAAUAUUUGUAUAUACACUUUAAAAAAUUUGCCAGAAAAUUAAAAGUGAGAUAACACAUUGAGUUUUGCAAUAGCUGUUUCUCAAUAUGGAUAUAUUAUGUCCUCCAUUUUGCAGCAGUACAAGAAAAAAGAGAAGUAAAAUAUGUGAUAGAUCUUCAUCACUAUAGCGAUCCCAUUUUUAAUCUUAUGUAAAACAGAGUUAACCAUACGCACUUUUAAGUUUACUGUUUUCUUUUAAAAUCAUAUCCAAAGUAUAUAGAAACCCAUACAGGAAUGUGGCAAAUUGUGUCCGUAUAUUUCUUUCCAUGAAGUAAUACACAUGCCACGUAAUAGUAAUUAAUGUAGCGUAGGGCUUAACAACAGCAAUGGCAAGGAAAACACUUAGCAAUUUAAUACGAAACCUCUUCAAGCCUCAGGGCUGUCAUCUAAAAUUUGAAAUAAUAAUUCAAGUUCUGAAAGAUCCUAUGAAGCUUAAAAGAGAUAACAGAUAUAAAGUAAAAUGUUUGGUGUAAUUUUUAGCACAUUCUAAAUGAUCAAUAAAUGAGAGACACUCUUAUAAUUUGAGGAAAUAGUAAAUUAAAAUUCCAACUUAGAUUUCAAUUAUAGUAGAGAGAGAGAGGUAGAUAGAAUAGAUAAAGAAUUACUAAAGAAAAGUAUGAAUGGUUUCAAAGUAUAUAAAAAAUACUCCUUGGGCAGCUCUAAUAUUCAAAGGAGACAAUAAAAGGGCUAAGGGAAGAGAAAUUUUAGAAGAGCUUUAUUGUGGUAUAGUUGCUGAAAUGAUUUGACUCUCACUAAUUCCCCUUUAAGGGACAUGCUGAAGUGUUCACUUCUAAGUUACUCACUUCAAGAAGACAAUUCUGAAGGUUUCACAGGUGCCCUUGGAAUUCCAGGAAAAAUGUUGGUAGGGUUAUCUGUACAUUAUGAAGUAGCUAAGGGAUAGAACAGUCCAAGGUCACAGUGUACAGGGAGCUACUGAUGCAUUAGGGAACAAGAGAUCACCUGGUAAUGGUGGAUAAAAGUACAAAACCUUCAGAGAUGAGCUGUGUAAACCCAGUGAGAAUGCAGGUAUUUAUUAUAUGGGAUCUUUCCAAAUGCCUUCUGCCAGAAUGUUGGGUGCCCAACAGGGAGUGUCUGUGUAGGUAGGCCCCAGAGGAAACAUGAAGCUGAUGUGGGUGCAGAACCAGCCAGCCACCCAAGGUAAAAGUGCUAGUGUAAGAGGAGUCCAUCAGGCUAUUUCUAAAGAAUCUCCUAAAAUGCCCCAAAGGAAAAAAUCAGAAUUAAACACUAGCCAUGCUCAGAGGCUGUACAAUUCUGUGAUUACAAUGGUCAGCUAAAGUUUACUACUUAUUUACCUCUUCCUUUUCUCUGUUUCAAUUCCAAGAAGCCAAAAGAAACAUGUAUUAGUUAGAUUAGGUGAGUUGCAAUAAAAAACAAAUCUUAAAUCUUCUUGGAUUAAAACAAAAAUUUUCAUUUUCAUGUAUGUCACAUGCCGUUUGCAAGUCACCAGGAAGUCUCUGCUUAUUACAGUACUCAGGAACACAGAUCGAUGAAGCUGUGCCUACAUGAACAUUUCAGAUUAAAUGCCAAUCCUUAGUCACUAACAGCCUGUACAGAGCCAGCCCCACGGUCCACCCAAUCACAGUAUUCCAGGUAGAGCAAUGCCGCUGUUUAUGUAGAAGAUUGUGAGUAAGAAACGAUUGAUAAACAUCAUGAACAACUGCCACAGUUUGCCCUUUUGCCAAAAUUAUAAAUUGAUACAGUCUCUCUUUCAGAGUCAAAAUACACUGCUUUCUUCCCAACAGAUACAACCUCAAAGUCUUAUCUAAUUCUAAAACUGGUGGGGGAAUGACUAAUAGUCUCAGUAUUCGUUCUGCUGUAUUUGCUCUUGACUUGGAGGCCAAUGAAAAAAAGACAAGUUCUCUGCUACCCACACAGCCAAAAUACAAUGAAACAGAAACAGAAUAAACACAGGAAACAAUCCUAUUUGUAAAAUAACUGGCCUAUAGCAGAUUUACAAAUAGGUGUUUUAAAGGUGCCCUUUCCUGAUGAUGGGGAAUAGUUUAGGCCCUAAUUUUGUUCCCUGACUCCCAGCUAAGAAACACUUCAUGUUCUCUGUAGUAGGCAGCUGUGUGGCAUCUUAUCUGUCUUUUUUUUUUUUUUAACAGUACUCUUUGAUAACAUCUGAAAUUGGCAUUGGCAAAUAUGUUCUUCUUGGGGUUAAGCAGAGUUUGCAGCAUGUAUCUUGCCAGUGUGUGGUGGGAGACCCAAAGGUCAUUUUCAGUCUUGAGCCCUCACAAUUUCUUUUAAACAAGGCUGAUGGUUAUUUUGUAGUAGUAAUUUCCAAAUGGCUCAGGAAAUUUCUGGUGAUGAGAAUGUAAUCAAUUUGGCAUCAGUCAUUUCCAUGUUGUAAUAGGCAUAUCCUCAGUUCUUUUCGAGAUAUGUCUCUAAGAUUUUUUGUAUUUCUAUGAUUUUCCUAUUCUUGAUUAUUUUUUCUCAAGAAUUAACUUUAGGCAUCAUGAGCUUUUCACACAAAGGGCACCUUUAAAACACAUAUAUGUGAUAGCAGCAGGAGGCAGACCAAUUUCCAGGCAGAUAGGGGUGGGUCUCCGGUGAAAUUCCACCUUCAAGCCCAAAAAGCCUAAAAACUGAAAGACUGGACUUCUGGUCCCAGAUGAAACCCGCUACCCAGAGUGAGAACUUCUGUUCCUGUUUGCCUGCCCUUCCCCUAUUGAUUCUUUCCGAAUAAGGCCUCUUAACCAAUCAAAUGUUGCCUUUUCCAAUGAAAGACUAUGGCCUGCCCCUCCCCUAGUCUGAGCCCAUAGGAGCCCGAGACUUGCCCAGGACUUAGACAAAUUGGGAGAACUUUCCUGUCUUUGGGUAGGGGGACCACCCCUGCAUCUCCCUCUCUAUAGAAAGCUGCUUCAUUACUCAGUAAAACUCCCUGCCUUGCUAACUCUUCAAUUGUCAGCGUAUCCUCAUUCUUGGAUGCUAGACUAGAGCUCGGGACCCACUGAGUGUGGGUACCUCAACGUGCUGUCACAUUGCCCUUGCCAGCAGAGGGCAGUUGCUCUAUGCAAUGGCGCCGGAGGCCAACUGAGCUGGGAACACACCGGUGUCCAGAGGGCAGUGUACAGCAGAAUUAAAAGAGCUAAUUAGCACACUAACACCCCCGGCCCCCGAGGCUUCAGGAUUAUGGGUAUCCUUGCCUGGGUGCUGCCACAUUCCCCGUGAGGUGAAAUGCCUGGUCUGGUCUGGCUGUGAGCUCUGCACGGAGCUUGCUCCUUUGUUGGUGCUUGGAGUGGCUGGCUGGAUCCUGCACUGACUCACUCAGGCACUCCGUCACUUAGGCGCUCCUUCCUGCAAGGGGCUGAGCAAGGCAGGCAGAGUAGAUGGGGCACUCCUGCUACACGUCCUGUAUAGAGGCCGGGAAAAAAUUCCUGUGUCUUUUGGGAAGGUCGCAUAUUGAUCUUAUAUCUCUCAGCCAUGUUGUCCAAUUCAAAGCAAUUGGGCACCACAUUUUCAACGGGGUCUUCGUCCUAAAUCUAGCUAAAUUUAUUUUAUGGUUUUCGCAAUGCACGUGAGGACUAUGCUGUUGAUUUGAUCCUUGCUACAAAAUUAAAUUUUAAUUGUCAUUGUUUCCUCAAAGCCUUUCUCAGUUUAAUUUUUUCUAGUAGGUGAUGAAAAGUGGUUGCAUUUUUCAGCCCUGGAAGUUCCCAAAUUUUAGGACUCUACUGAUUUCUUAUUCCUGUUCUAAAACCAGGAAAUUAUUUUCUGACAACACCUUCCCUGCAGUAACCUGCCAAACUCAGCCAACAGCAACCAAUACACACUGAUAAUAUUUUGUUUUUUCCCUUUUCCCUUCAAGCUACAAAUUGAUUAAGUAAAUGUCUUUUAAAUUGCUCAACUGACAUUUUCCAGGGUCUAAUAUUAAUUUAUCCAUUGCUUUCUACCUGGCCCCUAAAGUAGUGCCACAUGUUUCUAGUCAGGAGAGGUUACAUUGUCCUUGUGUAAUGUCAAAGUCCAAAAUAUCAGUAAUUUAGUUGAACAGUUUAUUUUUUGUUUCCAUUACAUUUCCCUUGUGGUUAGUGGAAUGGGAAGUGAGGAUAGGAAAGGAGUGCCUUCUCAGAAGACACCUAAGUGAAUAACUCUCUUGAAUGUAGCUGUUCACCCAGUUCAAAGGAGAGAUUUUGGAGGGUUCUGUAUCAACCACUAUGUAUUCUGUUCUGUAAGUGAUUUAUGCCACUUCCUACUGGCAGCUCAUUGGUUAGAAUUAUUAACACAGUUGCAUCCAGUCACAAAGGGGCCAAGAAAUGCAAUUCUCCCACGUGCAUUUAGGUGGAAAACAUCACAAACGGCUGAGGUAACAUGGUUGUUACCAAAAUUAGGAAGGAAAAAGAUCAUGAAACUAACCUCCCAAGCAACAGGUAGCCUGAUCAAUGUUGACCUCUGCCAGGGGAGGAAAUAACAUUUCAUUGUAAAUAAUGUUUAGAGUUUUGAUUACUGCACUAUGUUGAUCACCCUAAGUCAAUUGUGUUUUAUGACUCUAGGUGAUGUUGGACAACAAGAAGAAAAUUAUGGAUCUAUCCAAGUUUUCAUCCAUUGGCCCUACUGGAUAAAUUUUAAGGUGAAAAAUGUGAGACACAAAAGAAUUUUCCUUUUGACGACAAGAGUUAUACCUGUUUGACCAUUAAAUGACCAUUUAAAUCACAUUAAAUGAAGACCUCCAUCAUCAUCAUCAUCAGAUGCACUUCAAUUUAUGAAAGUCUCGGAUUGGUGAGCACAUCAGGUCCAACUCGCCUAGCUGUCAUCAGUUAAUAAUUCAUAAAGGAGAAGGAAAAAUUUCCUCCAGAAUCAAAACCCCUGCCUGGCUCUUUGAUUGAAAGUACCAUACGAUGAUUUAUUUUUUAGUUUUUUUUUAAGUCUCCAAAGCACUCUGUCUCAGGUUGCAAGUACUACCAGGUGACUUUGGCAAAAUCAAACUAAAAUGUAUUUAAUGGGUGGACAUGAUGUAGCUCACAGGGUUUAAAUGAAGGCUAGCGAGCUAAACUCAAAACAGAUACAAAAAGAAAGCUGUAGAGACUCAAUGGUCCUGAUUGUUAGGUUGUUUCUACAUUGUUAGGAUGGAUGAACAAAUUCUAAUUUUUCGCUUGUCUUAGUCACUCCCCUAAUGAUUCGGUUUCUGAGAGAGAUGGUUGAUUGGUUAAACUCAGUUUGAUUACUUGCCCACUCAUUCUCUGCUGUAUUUUUGCAGUGAGAAGAAUUACUAGUUUUGAUGGAAGAAACCUCCAGGGUUUCAAAUUUUCUUUUCUCUUGGUGGCAGAGCACAGCACCUUAUGUUCCCAUUCUUAGCAACAGUGAUAGUGGUUGUGUGGUAGCCAUAAAACAAAACAAAACAAAAAUGCCUGUAAUCAGUUUUUCUUGUUGUAUGAAUGUAAAAUGUUUGAAGAAUAUAACUUUAAUAAUUUUUUCCUUAAAGUAAAAAACAACAUUUUCAGAAAAAUAGUCCGCGAUGAAGUUUUGGGUCAAUAACAUGCUUGCUAGGUAAAUUAUCAACAAUAAGGUACAAAAAUACAUGCUUGAAAAAAAUGAUAAAGUCAGCUCAUUUAAGCCACUUGAUUCUUCAUCCCCUCUUUCCUGCUAUUGUACUCUACUUUGAAAACCAAGCCGAGGAGCAACUAAAAGUUUCAGGCUUUACAAUGACAUGUCUUUGGCAAAAUCUCCUGCUCCGUCCCCAGAUGUAGUCAUUCCCUAGAUGCUCGUAACCUAAUGUAAUUUCCUCAAUGCAAAUUAACUGAUUUAUUUGAGGCUUUCCCCGACACUGACUAUUAAUUCUUGGUGGAGGUGAAGCCCGAGGUUGGUAAUGUGAUGGUAGUGGAGAGAGUGAAUUAUGACGGUGCUGAUUUCUUGGAGCCUUCUAUAAAAUGUUGAAGGAUUAUUCAAGGCCUUGCCAUUACAAAUAAGCUAGUACAAAACAAAGAUGCAGUCUUCAUUCAAUAUAUAAUACAAGUAUUGAGCUAACACAGUAGAAUGGGAAAAGCUUUAGAAAGAAACGAAAACAGUUUUCUGCCUGCAUGAAAGACACAGGAAAAAGCCACUUCAACAUGGAUCGUGUGUGCACGUUUUCUAUGCAUUUCUCUGUCUAUACAUAAAAAACAAAACGUUUUGACUGGUAAGCAAUUGGCAAUGAUUCAUUUUUAUUCACUGCUGUCUAUAACUGGAUUAAACAAUUACAAUUUGUCUUACCAUCUGAGACUCUCCCUGGGGUUGGGUGCCUCUGCUCUGCUGCUCACUUUUGCUUAAGUUUGUACCUUCUCAUUAACUGAUUUGUCCUAAAAAUAACUUUGAAAGUCUCAGAUCCUGAGCUGUUAGCAGUUAGCCUGCAAAGCGAAGGUUACAAAAUCAGCAUCUGGCUAGAGCUCAAAAAGCUGACUCUGUUCUUAUUUUUAAGGCUAAGAUAAAGAAAUGUAUAUUUAAAUCUGCUUCUAAUUAGCUCUUAAACUGUAAAACACUGAAGGCUAUCAUGAAGGAAGUGUCUCAUUCUAGUGAAGAGCUUGUUGCUUCAUUCCUGGCUUCAGAAUUCCUUACAGCAUCUCUCCUAGACGUGAAACCUACCACCUCUUCUCUAUCCCAGAAAAUCUCCAGGGUAAAACAUGCAAUAAUGGUACUCUGUUUUGUGGUUAAAUAUUUUCAUGAGGAAGUUUUGCAUUUUUGAGAAACAAACUUAUCAACCUACCUUAAGUUGAUCUAAUUCUGGAUGUUUGAGAAUCACUGCAUUUGAGAGUGCCAGAAUUUAUUUGAUAAUAUUUGCAUUUCAUCCUUGAGAUAACUAUUUACAAGUUUGACUAAACCAAUUUUUAACUUUCAUAAUAAAAGACAGAGAAAAGAAACAUUUUCUUUUCGUACUAUGUUCACAUGGGGGCAUAAUGGGUAAUUUCGUUUCUGAAAAAGAAGCAAAAUAACUUUAUAUUUUAAUACUAAUUAAUUGACACUUAAUUUAAUUAAUAAAAUAAGCUGGUUAGCAAAAUCAAGCCUGUGGUGAAGAAUGCAGCACAAAGUUGAACAAUUUGAAGUAUUAGAGUUUAAAGUUAAAUUGUACAGUAUUUUGUGUAAGUCUUCGUCUACUGAUUCGUCACUUGUGCUUUGUACCACUGUUGGUCUGCAAAACAUUAUUUUGUAUUCUAAACUAUGUGAGGAUACACAUCUUGAAGUGCUUCUCUUUUUAUAUCUAGUGAAUAACUUAGCACAUACAAUGAACUAGAUAAAAAUGCUUAU